rnacentral:lncRNA from 1 species
CUUUGUUCUUGGGUACGUGGAGACAUCCUUUCCAGUCCCCUUGGGUUAGGGUCACAUGACAGCUGACCAAUGGAAUGUGAUCAGAAGUGAUGUGUCACUUCCUUUCUGAGGGAGCAAAAAGCCUCUGCAAGAUUUUCCAGGCUUCAUCUUCCCCUUUGUGGAGGAGGCCUGGCUUUGAGAGGGUGGAGUCCCAAGACGGAAGCCGCCUGGAUCCCUGAGUCACCGUGCGUCAUCCGUGGAGGACGGCAGCCCCGGAGACUCGCCUGGACCCGGAGCAGGCUUUGCCUGAGCAAGAAAUAAACUUCUGUGGUGUCCAGCCAGUAGAUCUUCUCGUCAUUGCCGUUUGCUCAUUCACAGCAGCAUAACCUAUCCUGACUGGUACAACCUAUCCAUGGAUGUUUCCAGAAAAUAACCAGUUUGGGGAAUCCAGGGUACCACCUCUCGCAUCUUUCAUCCCACCCACCGCCCUUCCAGGCCUCUCCUGAUCUCUUCCAAUGGGCUGUUGCUGCAGUGGCUGGGAGCAACCACAGACACACUGCCAACUGGAUGGGCACCAUCCCCUCGUAGGACCUCUGGGGCGGGAGCCAUGGUGCCAGUUUUUUAAGAAGGAAAGAAAAUGUCCUUGUGAAUGGUUCUGAUCUGCCAGUUCCUGAUGAACGUGUCCUCGUUUGGGCAGAGCUGGGGACCCUGCACAUGUUUGCAUUCUCGUAUUCCUGUCUGCAUCAGUUACUAGUGGUGGACAGCCUUUGUAGGGGUCCCAAAGAUUCACGCCUCUUGCACUCUGCAGGAUGUUUGACAAUCAUGGCGCUAACCCACGAAAUGCCAGAGGUUCUAGUCAUUGUGACAACCCAACCUGCACCCCCCUUACAAAUGCCCUUUGGGAUGGGGCAGUGCUGUGCCGGCUGAGAACCACUGCACCAGAGGAUCUUUUCCAGCCAUGGGCAAGGCCCCCCAGUACAUAGUUCUAGGUCCUUCUGGCCCUGCUAUGCGAGAUGCCACCAUAACAUGGCUUGAUGAGUGGUGCUAGGUCCACGCCCAGGAUCCGAACCAGUGAAACCCUGGACCGCCGACGUGGAGCGUGUGAACUUAACCACUUGGCCACGGGGCCGGCCCAGCUCCUGGUAUUCUUAAGGAGAGUGUUAGAUGGUUGGCAGGCACGUGAAUGGGUAAACCGAUGUCUUGUAUGUAAAAUCAACUAGGUAAACAGGAUAAACAUUUAACACCCA